CGAACGCUGGCGGCAGGCCUAACACAUGCAAGUCGAACGUGAAGCAGGAGCUUGCUCCUGUGGAAAGUGGCAGACGGGUGAGUAACGCGUGGGAAUCUACCCAGCUCUACGGAAUAACGCAGGGAAACUUGUGCUAAUACCGUAUACGUCCUCCGGGAGAAAGAUUUAUCGGAGUUGGAUGAGCCCGCGUUAGAUUAGUUUGUUGGUGGGGUAACGGCCUACCAAGACUACGAUCUAUAGCUGGUCUGAGAGGAUGAUCAGCCACACUGGGACUGAGACACGGCCCAGACUCCUACGGGAGGCAGCAGUGGGGAAUAUUGCACAAUGGGCGCAAGCCUGAUGCAGCCAUGCCGCGUGAGUGAAGAAGGCCUUAGGGUUGUAAAACUCUUUCACCGGUGAAGAUAAUGACGGUAGCCGGAGAAGAAGCCCCGGCUAACUCCGUGCCAGCAGCCGCGGUAAU
rnacentral:rRNA from 1 species